rnacentral:siRNA from 1 species
UCGCUGGCCUUGAAUCUGGAC